CUUCCAGGAAAAGUCUCUAAGCUUCAGUUACACAGGAAUCGUACCCGAAACCGACACAGGUGGUCAGGUCGAGUAGACCAAGGCGCUUGAGAGAACUCUGCUGAAGGAACUAGGCAAAAUGGUACCGUAACUUCGGGAGAAGGUACGCUGUUGUUGGUGAUGGAACUCGCUUCCUGAGCUGACGACAGCCGCAGAAACCAGGCCGCUGCAACUGUUUAUUAAAAACAUAGCACUCUGCAAACACGAAAGUGGACGUAUAGGGUGUGAUGCCUGCCCGGUGCUGGAAGGUUAAUUGAUGGGGUUAGCGUAAGCGAAGCUCUUGAUCGAAGCCCCAGUAAACGGCGGCCGUAACUAUAACGGUCCUAAGGUAGCGAAAUUCCUUGUCGGGUAAGUUCCGACCUGCACGAAUGGCAUAAUGAUGGCGGCGCUGUCUCCAGCAGAGGCUCAGUGAAAUCGAAAUCGCUGUGAAGAUGCAGUGUACCCGCGGCUAGACGGAAAGACCCCGUGAACCUUUACUGCAGCUUGACACUGAACUUUGACCUUACUUGUGUAGGAUAGGUGGGAGGCUUUGAAGCUGGAACGCUAGUUCCAGUGGAGCCGUCCUUGAAAUACCACCCUGGUAAUGUUGAGGUUCUAACUCUGUCCCGUGAUCCGGGACGAGGACCGUGUCUGGUGGGUAGUUUGACUGGGGCGGUCUCCUCCUAAAGAGUAACGGAGGAGUACGAAGGUGCGCUCAGCGUGGUCGGAAAUCACGCGUAGAGUAUAAAGGCAAAAGCGCGCUUAACUGCGAGACCCACAAGUCGAGCAGGUACGAAAGUAGGUCUUAGUGAUCCGGUGGUUCUGUAUGGAAGGGCCAUCGCUCAACGGAUAAAAGGUACUCUGGGGAUAACAGGCUGAUACCGCCCAAGAGUUCAUAUCGACGGCGGUGUUUGGCACCUCGAUGUCGGCUCAUCUCAUCCUGGGGCUGAAGCAGGUCCCAAGGGUAUGGCUGUUCGCCAUUUAAAGAGGUACGCGAGCUGGGUUUAGAACGUCGUGAGACAGUUCGGUCCCUAUCUACCGUGGGCGCUGGAAAUUUGAGAGGAUCUGCUCCUAGUACGAGAGGACCAGAGUGGACGAACCUCUGGUGUACCGGUUGUGACGCCAGUCGCAUCGCCGGGUAGCUAUGUUCGGAAGGGAUAACCGCUGAAAGCAUCUAAGCGGGAAGCCUACCUCAAGAUAAGAUUUCCCUAGGACUUUAUGUCCUCUAAAGAGCCGUUCGAGACUAGGACGUUGAUAGGUUGGAUGUGGAAGCAUAGUGAUAUGUGAAGCUGACCAAUACUAAUUGCUCGUGAGGCUUGACUAU
rnacentral:rRNA from 1 species